GAUGAACGCUGGCGGCGUGCCUAAUACAUGCAAGUCGAGCGAACAGACGAGGAGCUUGCUCCUCUGACGUUAACGGCGGACGGGAGAGUAACACGUGGAUAACCUACCUAUAAGACUGGGAUAACUUCGGGAAACUGGAGCUAAUACCGGAUAACAUGUUGAACCGCAUUGUUCAACAGUGAUAUACGGUCUUGCUGUCACUUAUAGAUGGAUCCGCGCCGCAUUAGCGAGUUGGUAAGGUAACGGCUUACCAAGGCAGCGAUGCGUAGCCGACCUGAGAGGGUGAUCGGCAGCACUGGAACGGAGACACGGUCCAGACUCCUACGGGAGGCAGCAGUAGGGAAUCUUCCGCAAUGGGCGAAAGCGUGAAGUAGCAACGCCGCGUGAGUGAAGAAGGUCUUCGGAUCGUAAAACUCUGUGAUUAGGGAAGAACAAAUGUGUAAGUAACUAUGCACGUCUUGACGGUAGCGAAACAGAAAGCCACGGCUAACUACGUG
rnacentral:rRNA from 1 species